rnacentral:rRNA from 1 species
CAAUAGCGUAUAUUUAAGUUGCUGCAGUUAAAAAGCUCGUAGUUAGAUUUCGGGUGGGAAUGGCCGGUCCGCCGUUUCGGUGUGCACUUGCUACGCCCACCUUGCUGCCGGGGACGUGCUCUUGAGUUCACGCUCGGGACACGGAGUCGGCGAGGUUACUUUGAGUAAAUUAGAGUGUUCAAAGCAGGCCUACGCUCUGAAUACAUUAGCAUGGACUAACACGAUAGGACUCUGGCCUAUCUUGUUGGUCUGUAGGACCGGAGUAAUGAUUAAGAGGGACAGUCGGGGGCAUUCGUAUUUCAUUGUCAGAGGUGAAAUUCUUGGAUUUAUGAAAGACGAACUACUGCGAAAGCAUUUGCCAAGGAUGUUUUCAUUAA